GGGUUGUGAGGUUAAGCGACUAAGCGUACACGGUGGAUGCCCUGGCAGUCAGAGGCGAUGAAGGACGUGCUAAUCUGCGAUAAGCGUCGGUAAGGUGAUAUGAACCGUUAUAACCGGCGAUUUCCGAAUGGGGAAACCCAGUGUGUUUCGACACACUAUCAUUAACUGAAUCCAUAGGUUAAUGAGGCGAACCGGGGGAACUGAAACAUCUAAGUACCCCGAGGAAAAGAAAUCAACCGAGAUUCCCCCAGUAGCGGCGAGCGAACGGGGAGCAGCCCAGAGCCUGAAUCAGUAUGUGUGUUAGUGGAAGCGUCUGGAAAGGCGCGCGAUACAGGGUGACAGCCCCGUACACAAAAAUGCACAUGCUGUGAGCUCGAUGAGUAGGGCGGGACACGUGGUAUCCUGUCUGAAUAUGGGGGGACCAUCCUCCAAGGCUAAAUACUCCUGACUGACCGAUAGUGAACCAGUACCGUGAGGGAAAGGCGAAAAGAACCCCGGCGAGGGGAGUGAAAAAGAACCUGAAACCGUGUACGUACAAGCAGUGGGAGCACGCUUAGGCGUGUGACUGCGUACCUUUUGUAUAAUGGGUCAGCGACUUAUAUUCUGUAGCAAGGUUAACCAAAUAGGGGAGCCGAAGGGAAACCGAGUCUUAACUGGGCGUUAAGUUGCAGGGUAUAGACCCGAAACCCGGUGAUCUAGCCAUGGGCAGGUUGAAGGUUGGGUAACACUAACUGGAGGACCGAACCGACUAAUGUUGAAAAAUUAGCGGAUGACUUGUGGCUGGGGGUGAAAGGCCAAUCAAACCGGGAGAUAGCUGGUUCUCCCCGAAAGCUAUUUAGGUAGCGCCUCGUGAAUUCAUCUCCGGGGGUAGAGCACUGUUUCGGCAAGGGGGUCAUCCCGACUUACCAACCCGAUGCAAACUGCGAAUACCGGAGAAUGUUAUCACGGGAGACACACGGCGGGUGCUAACGUCCGUCGUGAAGAGGGAAACAACCCAGACCGCCAGCUAAGGUCCCAAAGUCAUGGUUAAGUGGGAAACGAUGUGGGAAGGCCCAGACAGCCAGGAUGUUGGCUUAGAAGCAGCCAUCAUUUAAAGAAAGCGUAAUAGCUCACUGGUCGAGUCGGCCUGCGCGGAAGAUGUAACGGGGCUAAACCAUGCACCGAAGCUGCGGCAGCGACACUAUG
rnacentral:rRNA from 1 species